GGCCUCCACAAUCACCCGACCUCAACCCAAUUGAGAUGGUUUGGACCGCAGAGUGAUGGAAAAGCAGCCAACAAGUGCUCAGCAUAUGUGGGAACUCCUUUAAGACUGUUGGAAAAGCAUUCCAGGUGAAGCUUGUUGAGUGAAUGCCAAGAGUGUGCAAAGCUGUCAUCAAGGCAAAAGAUGGACGUGGUACCCUCAGGCGUUUGGAAAUUGCUCCCAGGGAUGAACCAGACUUGUGGAGGUCUACAAUUGUUUUUCUGAGGUCUUGGCUGAUUUUUAUUUUAUUUUACCAUGAUGUCAAGCAGAGGCACUGAGUUUGAAGGACCUGAGCCCUAGGACCAUGCCUCAGGACUACCUGGUAUGAUGACUCCUUGCUGUCCCCAGUCCACCUGGCCGUGCUGCUGCUCCAGUUUCAACUGUUCUGCCUGCGGCUAUGGAACCCUGACCUGUUCACCGGACGUGCUUGUUGCACCCUCGACAACUACUAUGAUUAUUAUUAUUUGACCAUACUGGUCAUUUAUGAACAUUUUAACAUCUUGACCAUGUUCUGUUAUAAUAUCCACCCUGCACAGCCAGAAGAGGACUGGCCACCCCUCAUAGCCUGGUUCCUCUCUAGGUUUCUUCCUAGGUUUUUGGCCUUUCUAGGGAGUUUUUCCUAGGGAGUUUUUCCUAGCCACCGUGCUUCUUUCACA
rnacentral:lncRNA from 1 species